rnacentral:rRNA from 1 species
GAACUGAAGAGUUUGAUCAUGGCUCAGAUUGAACGCUGGCGGCAGGCCUAACACAUGCAAGUCGAGCGGAUGAAGGGAGCUUGCUCCUGGAUUCAGCGGCGGACGGGUGAGUAAUGCCUAGGAAUCUGCCUGGUAGUGGGGGAUAACGUCCGGAAACGGGCGCUAAUACCGCAUACGUCCUGAGGGAGAAAGUGGGGGAUCUUCGGACCUCACGCUAUCAGAUGAGCCUAGGUCGGAUUAGCUAGUUGGUGGGGUAAAGGCCUACCAAGGCGACGAUCCGUAACUGGUCUGAGAGGAUGAUCAGUCACACUGGAACUGAGACACGGUCCAGACUCCU